GGCCGCAGGCGGAGUUCCCGGGCGCGAGGAGACCGGGCUGGGCGAGGGCUUGUCGGCCUGGUUAGCUGACCCCGCGGAGCGUGUGUGCCUCCUGGGUGUCCCGGAAACCUCCGAGUGGACCGGCCGGGAAAAAGCCCAGCCUGACUCUCGAGAGUUUGUGGUCUUUGUUUCCGGGAGGAGAAUUCUGGUCUUGCUCUGAGGCUCCUAAAUGCCCACGACGUGUCAACUGGACGUUGCUAACCCACGCACGGUCCAGUGGAGCGCGGGAACGCGGAGCGGGGAGACCCCUUUCGAGAUAUAUAGAGGAUACAUUUCCAGAAUAA
rnacentral:lncRNA from 1 species